rnacentral:rRNA from 1 species
AGCAUAUCACUAAGCGGAGGAAAAGAAACUAACUAGGAUUCCCCCAGUAACUGCGAGUGAAGAGGGAAGAGCUCAUCAUUGGAAUCUGGCAGCGUUGCGCUGUCCGAGUUGUAGAUGAGAAGAGUAGGUCAUCUGGACUGCGUGGUGUCCAAGUACAAUAGGCCGUCAGUGGGACAUCAUAGAGGGUGACAAUCCCGUCCUUGACAACCAACGUACGAGUCCAUUACGAUGCCUAUCUCAGAGAGUCGAGCAGUUUGGGAUUUGCUGCUUAAACAUGGGAGGUAGAUUCCUUCUAAAGCUAAAUACAGGCAAGAGACCGAUAGAGAACAAGUACCGCAAGGGAAAGAUGAAAUAGAACUCUGUGAAGGGAGUCAAAAAGACGUGAAAUUGUUGCGAGAGAAGCGAUUCAAGUCAGCGUAGCUAGGCCCAUCAAGCUUCUUGCUUUGGACUAGCUUUGCCAGCGGUCUUGUCCUUUUAGAGACUUGACUUUUGACGUGCCCUGUCCGGUCUAACGGGCAGGCCCUUCGGGGCCAGUGGCAUGGCUGGUGGAAUGGCUUGCAAUCGACCCGUCUUGAAACACGGACCAAGGAGUCUAACAUGUGUGCGAGUAUAAGGGUGGCAAACCCGUAUGCGCAAAGAAAGUGAUAGCCUUUUUAUGGCUGAGAAUGGCCUGAUGACCAGACAAGCAAUAUUAUGUUCCUCGUACGGUCAUUGCCCAAGUCCCGUGGUCAGAUCCCAUGGACAUGGAGUUAGAGCAUACAUGCUAGGACCCGAAAGAUGGUGAACUAUGCCUGGACAAAGCGAAGCCAAAGGAAACUCUGGUGGAGGCUUGUAGCGAUUCUGACGUGCAAAUCGAUCGUCUGAUCUGGGUAUAGGGGCGAAAGACUAAUCGAACCAU